GCCCAGGGCAAAGCUGAGUCUUUCUGUUCCUGUUCUACGUUCAAGAAGACUCUUCUGGCCUUGAGGCAGGUUAUUUUUGCUCGGUGGUUUAGCUUGGGCACAUUAGGGGGGAUGGCACAGCACAGCUUCUCCAGGCUCCCCCUCACUGCAGCUUGGAGACCCUCUGGGGACAGGUUUGUUCCCUUUUGCUGUGCUCCAUUUUAGAAAAUCCUCCACUAUUCACCCAAAGCAGCAUGAGCUCAGGUGGUUCUUGAUGCUGGGGCAAGCUGCUGGUCUACAGAUGAUCUUCUUUUAGCGACAAGUGGACAAGGACCAACAGCCCUGGAGUACUUUUCCUGCAGGAUCCUUUGCUGGCAAAUCAUCCCCCACAAGCACUUGCCUGCAACCAAGAAAUGCGUGGGGAUGCAGUGUCGGAGGAGGCCAGCACCACAUCCGACAGAGACAAGGUGGUGGAGUCAGUGCCAGGGUCAGAACAGUUGGAUUGAGGACCCUCCAACAUUCAAAGUAUGCUCCAGGGAGAGCCAGGGCUGGAAGCUGGAGGUUGGUAACCUCCAACAAAACAGAUGAUCCAGGAUUUUGAGCAGGUAUGUGGCAUCUGACUUUGAAAGUCAGAUCUCAAACUCUCCAUUGCUCUUAAGGCUUUUGUUUCAAACUAGGUGUUUUCUCCCAUGUGUUUUUUCCCUCCAGCAGCAUCUCCAGGUCAGCAGCUGUCAGUAGGUGAAACUCCAUGGCCCAUGAGACUCGGAGGAGGCUGGAUAAAGAAAAUUAUUUCUUCCAGGCUUAAAAUCCACUGCAGUAUUUUGCCUGGGUGCUGGGAGCCUCCAUUCCGCUCUACCUGUGCUCAUUGCAUUUUAUCUGCUGAAGCAGCAAUACUGCAGAGCCCACCAAGAAGAUGAGUCCUCGGGGAUGAUUUCUGGAGGAUCUGGAGAUGAAAAUGGUGUCUGCCAGCACAUCUUUGUUUUCCACCUCUUCUGCAGCUUCACUGAAGUUUGGCUGUGCCCUUACCUCAACCCCUCUGGUGGAGCAGAGCCUGCUGCAAGGUGGAGACAAGGUACAGAGACAAAAGUCUGCGCCAAGCUCUGGAGGGGCAGAAAUGGGGUGCAAGGAGACCCAUAGGGUGGCCACCAACCUCUACAAAUCGAGUGGUGCUGCAAGCCAGCAAGCCCUUCCCCACGAAGCACGGGCCAGCGGAGUGGAGGUGGCAAGAAAUACACCUUGCAAAAUUUCUGCUGGGUUACGGAGAACCAGCCGGGGAUUGGAGCAGGGAAGAGCCUACAAAAAACAUCAGAGCUCGUGCAGAAGUGAAGCCACUCCAGUGAUGUGUCCUGGGCUCUUGCCUUGGGGAUUCCAUCCUUUCCUCCAGAUUUCCCAUCCUUUACUUUUUUCCUGCUGUGGUUUGCCAGCCCCGGGCUCCAGGGUGCCAGGAUGCUGCGAGGGCUCCCGUUUUGGUCCAGGACAUACCCUUAGGCUCCUUCCCUCCCUAAAACAUUCUACUUGCAGAUGAGGAAUAGACAAGACCCAGGGCAAGACUAGAAGUCACUCGGUUGCCUGGGUUGGUGAAAGGGGAUGAGGAGCACAAAUGAACCCUCAUUAUAGCUGGAAUCAGGAGUUAAUGAGUGUGGUUUGGUGAGGUGCUCAAGAGCAGAACAAUUCUCUGCCCCAUCCUCCAGCCAUUAAAACUUUAAAUGGGGAAAACCUCAAGUCCCAGAUCUCCUGCUCUCCAUGGCCUCACUUAUCUUGGAUGUGCAGCUGGAACCUGAAAGCAAACCAAACCCUCCGGUGAUGAGGUGUGAACUCCAGGGUGAGGAUGUUCCUUUCCCUGGGGGCAGAGGGGGUGUGCUUCAUUUAAAAGGUAGAAGAAGUGCUGCUGAUGGGCACCAGUUUGUUUCUUUCAGCCCACUGUCCUUAACUCAGCAUCUUGCUGCUGGUGGAAGCCAUCCCCAUCCAUGACCCCGAGCUCAUCAGGGCCAUCUGGCCUGGCCCAUGGGUCACUUAAGGGAAUUAAUUCAUAGAAUCAUAGAAUGCUUUGGGUUGGAAGGGUUGGGGAUGGGGAAGGAGCCUGUAACAUCUGGUCAAGGAGUCUGAAUCAAAAAAUGAGGAUCUAUGAUUCUAUAAUCUCAUGUUUUCAUUGAUUUCAGCACACACAUCAUGUAUGAAGAGAUAUGAGUCUGACAGCAGGUCGGCUACAGAGAGCAAAAAGGACUUUAGGUAACACCGUGGUGACUGGCAACCCUCCCUUCACUGAGUAUCGAUGAGAAGAGGCUGCUGAUAUGACCCAUUUCUUUUCAAACAGAGGCUUCUGCAAAACCGCUGCCCACCCAACCCAGUCUGUAAGACCCAGCUGAAAUCUGAACCCUCGCAGAUCAUAAAACCAGAGAAUCAA